AACCUGGUUGAUCCUGCCAGUGGCCACUGCUAUUGGGAUUCGACUAAGCCAUGCGAGUCGAGAGGGUUCGGCCCUCGGCUGACGGCUCAGUAACACGUGGAUAAUCUGCCCUUAGGUGGAGGAUAACCUCGGGAAACUGAGAAUAAUACUCCAUAGGUCUAGGAUGCUGGAAUGCAUCUAGACUGAAAACUCCGGUGCCUAAGGAUGAGUCUGCGGACUAUCAGGUUGUAGUCAGGGUAAAGACCUGACUAGCCUACGACGGAUAUGGGUUGUGAGAGCAAUAACCCAGAGAUGAUAUCUGAGACACGAUAUCAGGCCCUACGGGGCGCAGCAGGCGCGAAAACUUCACACUGUGCGAAAGCACGAUGAGGGAAUCCCAAGUGCCAGCUCGUAAGAGUUGGCUGUUUUUCUGUCUAAAACACAGAGAGAGUAAGAGCUGGGUAAGACGGGUGCCAGCCGCCGCGGUAAUACCUGCAGCUCGAGUGGUGGCCGCUAUUAUUGGGCCUAAAACGUCCGUAGCCGGUUUGGUAAAUGCCUGGGUAAAUCGUGUAGCUUAACUAUACGAAUUCCGGGUAGACUGCUAAACUUGAGACCGGGAGAGGCUAGAGGUACUCCUGGGGUAGAGGUGAAAUUCUGUAAUCCUGGGGGGACCACCAGUGGCGAAGGCGUCUAGCUAGAACGGAUCUGACGGUGAGGGACAAAGCCCUGGGGCGCAAACCGGAUUAGAUACCCGGGUAGUCCAGGGUGUAAACGCUGCUUGCUUGAUGUUAGUUGGGCUCCGAGCCCAAUUAGUGU
rnacentral:rRNA from 1 species